UGAGAUCCCGAGCGAGCUGAAACCAUUAGGUUGCCUGGAACCUGCAAAGAUCAUAGAAACGUUACUUGAAAAGGCAAACAGACAGAGCAAGAGCAAUUCUCCCAUUCAAAUGCUUACCUUCUUUACACGUAUGUAUCCUUCAAUUCGACAUCCUCCUGUAGAAGGUGCCUUUUUUAAAGUUUUGGAUGCAUUAUCUGAUUUGUCCUCUAAUGCUAGUUUAUGAGGCUCUAGAUGGAUUGGUUCAACCAGACCUAUCACCAUCUGUAGGAGAACGCAAGAAAUAAGCUACAAAUGAAGCACAAAAACAAACUCUUCUCUAACUUGUAUAAGGGGUACGAAAAAGAUGCUGAAAAGAGACCUAGAAC
rnacentral:lncRNA from 1 species